rnacentral:pre_miRNA from 1 species
AGUGAGAUAGCUGGAUCAGAUGGUGGUUCCAUUCCAAGUUUUCUAAGACAUCUCCAUACUGCUUUCCAAAGUGGUUGUACCAUUUUUGCAAUCCCAGCAGCAAU